rnacentral:rRNA from 1 species
UACGGGGGGGGCAAGCGUUGUUCGGAAUUACUGGGCGUAAAGGGCUCGUAGGCGGCCAACUAAGUCAUACGUGAAAUCCCUCGGCUUAACCGGGGAACUGCGUCUGAUACUGGAUGGCUUGAGUUCGGGAGAGGGAUGCGGAAUUCCCGGUGUAGCGGUGAAAUGCGCAGAUAUCGGGAAGAACACCCGUGGCGAAGGCGGCACUCUGGGACGGUACUGACGCUGAGACGCGAAAGCGUGGGGAGCGAACAGG